rnacentral:tRNA from 1 species
UGGCUCAGUUGGUAGAGCAUAGUGUUUGCAACACCAGAGUUGUGGGUUCAAUUCCCAC